rnacentral:rRNA from 1 species
AUUGAACGCUGGCGGCAGGCCUAACACAUGCAAGUCGAGCGAGCGGCGGACGGGUGAGUAAUGUCUGGGAAACUGCCUGAUGGAGGGGGAUACCUACUGGAAACGGUCGCUAAUACCGCAUACCAUCAGAUGUGCCCAGAUGGGCUUAGCUAGUAGGUGGGGUAACGGCUCACGUAGGCGACGAUCCCUAGCUGGUCUGCGAGGAUGACCAGCCACACUGGAACGUAGACACGGUCCAGACUCCUACGGGAGGCAGCAGUGGGGAAUAUUGCACAAUGGGCGCAAGCCUGAUGCAGCAAUGCCGCGUGUGGGAAGAAGGCCUUCGGGUUGUAAAGCACUUUCAGCGGGGAGGCGUUACCCGCAGAAGAAGCAACGGCUAACUCCGUGCCAGCAGCCGCGGUAAUAC